rnacentral:lncRNA from 1 species
GUGGGCUUUGAGUCUCUUUCUCAAGCUUCAGUGUGACAGCCAGUCAAUUUCCUGCUGCCUUCUGGUCACUCUCAGCUCCAGCACCAUGUCUACCUGCAUGCUUCCAUGCUCCCUGUCAUGAUGAUAAUGGACCGAACCUCUGAAACUGGUAUGUGCACAUGAAUGUAGGUGCCCUAGGAGACCAAGUAUGUCAGAUCCCUUGGAGCUGGAGUUACAGGCCGUUGCUAGCCACCUGAUGUGUAUGCUGGGAAUCUAGCUCAGGUCCCCUGCAGAAGCAGUCUUCCCUCUGAACCACUGAGCCAUCCCUCCGGCCCUAGGAUGAAGUAUCUCUAUGUGAAAGCAGCAGCAAUGGAAAAAGAAGAAGAAGAAGGAGAAAGAAGAAGAUUUCCCCCCUGCAUAAAUGAGCUUUGCUGUUGUCAUGCUGGUGCUUGCUCUUCAAAGCAAAAAAGAAAGGCAGGAAGGCCAGGCAGGUGCUUCCCCAGGUCAUGAGCAGGAGGCACUGUGAGGUGCAAGACACACUGUGAGGUGCAGGAGGCACUGUGAGGUGUAGGAGGCUCUGUGAGGUAUAGGAGUCUCUGUGAGGUAUAGGAGGCUCUGUGAGGUGCAGGAGGUUCUGUGUAGGCAGC